GUGCUCCAAGGCCAGUCCACAAUAUGCGAUAACUUUGCCUUUUUUGAAGGUUGUUUGAGCUCGAAACUGGGUUGAUCACCUCAAUUAGUGUCUUCCACACUCCCGGAGGCUUUGCACCAUUUUGGGCUUCUUUAAAUGCCUGCAUNNNNNNNNNNNNNGGUAACAAGUAACGCAAGCUAAUGAGCGGGCUACCGACCCUGCAACUAAUGGUACAUAUGGUGUCAAGUCUGGAGCAUUCUGAUUUGUAAAAUCUUCCAUUAAAUUCCGGAAAAUGUCAUAACAAGGCAAGUAGAUUCCCACAGUUGGCACAGCCAAAGCUAAGCUUGCAUUUG
rnacentral:misc_RNA from 1 species